rnacentral:lncRNA from 1 species
UGUGGUCCUCAGCUGGCCCCUAUAUAAAUUUGUGUACAAUAGUUCAGUGAAAUUGGACGUCACACUAAACUCCAAAACAUAUAAAUUAAAAUAAAGUCCAGUCAGCAGAUAAUACUCGAAGGUAACCAAUGGGUGUUCAAUGCAGCGAGAAAUUCCCACACUUGGAGGUGGUCCUCAGCUGGCCCCUAUACAAUUUAAGGAAGAUCUUCCAGGUCUUUGAUCAUCUGAUAUCUCA